GGAUGCGAUCAUACCAGCACUAACGCCAAGGAUUCCAUAAGAACUCCGAAGUUAAGCGUGCUUGGACAAGAGAAGUACUUGGAUGGGUGACCCCCUGGGAAGUCCUCGUGUUACAUCCC